AACGGGGGAUUGCCUUAGUACGGCGAGUGAAGCGGCAAAAGCUCAAAUUUGAAAUCUGGUACCUUCGGUGCCCGAGUUGUAAUUUGGAGAGGGCAACUUUGGGGCCGUUCCUUGUCUAUGUUCCUUGGAACAGGACGUCAUAGAGGGUGAGAAUCCCGUGUGGCGAGGAGUGCGGUUCUUUGUAAAGUGCCUUCGAAGAGUCGAGUUGUUUGGGAAUGCAGCUCUAAGUGGGUGGUAAAUUCCAUCUAAAGCUAAAUAUUGGCGAGAGACCGAUAGCGAACAAGUACAGUGAUGGAAAGAUGAAAAGAACUUUGAAAAGAGAGUGAAAAAGUACGUGAAAUUGUUGAAAGGGAAGGGCAUUUGAUCAGACAUGGUGUUUUGUGCCCUCUGCUCCUUGUGGGUAGGGGAAUCUCGCAUUUCACUGGGCCAGCAUCAGUUUUGGUGGCAGGAUAAAUCCAUAGGAAUGUAGCUUGCCUCGGUAAGUAUUAUAGCCUGUGGGAAUACUGCCAGCUGGGACUGAGGACUGCGACGUAAGUCAAGGAUGCUGGCAUAAUGGUUAUAUGCCGCCCGUCUUGAAACACGGACCAA
rnacentral:rRNA from 1 species